GACGAACGCUGGCGGCGUGCUUAACACAUGCAAGUCGAACGGAAAGGCCCUGCUUUUGUGGGGUGCUCGAGUGGCGAACGGGUGAGUAACACGCGAGUAACCUGCCCUUGACAUUGUGAUAACUUCAGGAAACUGGGGCUAAUACCGGAUAUGAGCUCCUGCUGCAUGGUGGGCGUUGGAAAGUUUCGGCGGUUGGGGAUGGACUCGAGGCUUAUCAGCUUGUUGGUGGGGUAGUGGCUUACCAAGGCUUUGACGGGUAGCCGGCCUGGGAGGGUGACCAGCCACAUUGGGACUAAGAUACGGACCAGUCGCGUACGGGAGGCAGCAGUGGGGAAUAUUGCACAAUGGGCGGAAGCCUGAUGCAGCGACGCUGCGUGCGUGAUGACGGCCUUCGGGUUGUAAACCGCUUUCGCAUGUGCCGAAGAGUGAGUGACGGUAAUGGGUAAAGAAGCAACGGCUAACUACGUG
rnacentral:rRNA from 1 species